CUUGCUGCCACCACCACCCCCACCCCAGGGCCCUGCAACAGACACUAGGUGCUCCUAUUUAGAGUUGGUCAUGGGUAAGGAAAAGGUAGAUUUGGCCACAGUCUCUCAAUACAUAGAGCCACUUUAUGUAGAAAAAUCUCUUGAACCUAUUAGGAGUACUGCGUGAGCAAAAAGUGAUUCAUGACCAGAUAUUUCUGAGGAUGGCAAAGGGGCAAGUGAGAGAAGCUGGAUUAAGUUAUCCCCCAGUGAAGAAUAUUACUUGUGUUAACAAAGCAUAAAUUUUCUGACACGUGACUUGCAAAGGAGAAUGCUAUUGAUUAGCUGAAGAACUCCUGAAGAUUGUAGCAAAACUUUAAUAGUGUAAUAAUCUUUGAAGAUUUUUUGAAAGAACACAUACAGAACAAGAGAAAGAAAGUUCUCCCAAGUUUGACUCAGAACUCCCUGCAUGUGCUGCCUCUGCUGAUUUCCUCCUGAAUUCUCAACGAAACUGAGGCCGAUCUUUCUACCCUAUCACAUAACCACGGGACUGAAAAUGCUUCCUCAAAGGCCCUUCAGCAUAUGAAACCAGCACACCAGAUGACCACGUAUGAUCCAGUGUUGUCAAAGGAGAAGCUGAGGAGGUGUCAGACUUCUUGGUUGCAAGUGGUGGCUGGAGCUGGCUGCUACUGGACGUGCUGAGUGUGGUUCAACACCAUCUGAUGGUGUCGUGAUGAUACGGGAGGAGGGCAGGGAAGUGCUGGGAGGAGAAGGGUGGGUCCCUGGUGAGGGCUCCAGCCCUGGGCCUGGGCCCAGGGGCAUAGGUAAGGACAGGCACUCCUGCCUUAGCGUCCAAAUGUUGCAUUUCCCAAGACCACCCUGGCCCGCCAUGCCCCAUCCUGUGCCUGUAAAAACCCCGAGACCUUAGUGCGCACAGACACAAGCAGCUGGACACUGACAGGAACACACCAGCGGAAGAAGACACAAGCGGCUGGAUGUCGAGAGGAACGUACUGGCCUAAGAGCACAUCGACAGCCCCAGCAGACUGGCAGGCCAUCGACUGGCAGAACGACACUAAGUUUGGCCAGGGUGGUCAGAGGAGAGCCCGGCCACUGAGUGGCCCGACUUGAGGGGAAAACCUCCUUCCCACUCCAUCUCCCUUCUGGCUCCCCCAUGGGCUGAGGGCUACUUUCACUGAAUAAAACCUUGCAUUCAUA